rnacentral:rRNA from 1 species
AUUGAACGCUGGCGGCAGGCCUAACACAUGCAAGUCGAGCGAGCGGCGGACGGGUGAGUAAUGUCUGGGAAACUGCCUGAUGGAGGGGGAUAACUACUGGAAACGCAAGCUAAUACCGCAUACCAUCAGAUGUGUCCAGAUGGGAUUAGCUCGGGGGUGGGGUAACGGCUCACCAAGGAGACGAUCCCUAGCUGGUCUGAGAGGAUGACCAGCCACACUGGAACGGAGACACGGUCCAGACUCCUACGGGAGGCAGCAGUGGGGAAUAUUGCACAAUGGGGGAAAGCCUGAUGCAGCCAUGCCGCGUGUGUGAAGAAGGCCUUCGGGUUGUAAAGCACUUUCAGCGGGGAGGCGUUACCCGCAGAAGAAGCACCGGCUAACUCCGUGCCAGCAGCCGCGGUAAUAC